rnacentral:rRNA from 1 species
GAUUUCUGACGAAACUGCUAGCUGGCCCGCCACGCAAGUGUGUGAGUGCCGGCUUGGCGUUUGUCAUCCGUUCGAAUGAUAUGCGUGCUGCCCUUCACUGGGUUGGCGCUGCAUGUUUUCGAUCUUUUACUUUGAAAAAAUUAGAGUGUUUCAAGCAGGCAUGUUUUGCUAUGAAUACAUUAGCAUGGAAUAAUAAUUUAGGACUUCUGUUCUAUUUUGUUGGUUUCUAGGAUGGAAGUAAUGAUUGAUAGGGAUAGUUGGGGGUGCUAGUAUUCCGCGGCCAGAGGUGAAAUUCUUGGAUUCGCGGAAGACUAACUUAUGCGAAAGCAUU